GAUGAAGAACGUAGCGAAAUGCGAUAAGUAAUGUGAAUUGCAGAAUUCAGUGAAUCAUCGAAUCUUUGACCGCACAUUGCGCCCGCCAGUAUUCUGGCGGGCAUGCCUGUUCGAGCGUCAUUUCAACCAUCAAGCCCCCGGGCUUGUGUUGGGGACCUGCGGCUGCCGCAGGCCCUGAAAAGCAGUGGCGGGCUCGCUGUCACACCGAGCGUAGUAGAUUUUAUCUCGCUCAGGGCGUGCUGCGGGUUCCGGCCGUUAAACCACCUUCAUAACCCAAGGUUGACCUCGGAUCAGGUAGGAAGACCCGCUGAACUUAAGCAUAUCAAUAAGCGGAGGA
rnacentral:misc_RNA from 1 species